CAUACUGUGCUUCUCCUAUUUUUCUCAACUGGAGAAAAGGAAAUAUCAAGGUGCAGAAGAAAAGGUCCCAGUGGAGCUGUGACUGUCUAACAUAAUUGAGAAGACAUUUGUAAAGCAUCUGGAAAAGGAUGUGCUCACACAUCAAAAAAAUUCUCAUUUAUUCUCAAAUACUUGUGCAGAGUUGAUUUCAGAGUUUAGGAAUGCACCAGAAUCACGAACUAAUGAUCUUAUAUUAGAGGGCUUAAAAAGCAAACCUCAAGAAAGAUUACCAUCUUUCAAAAGAGCUAUAGAAAAGCAAGGAAACAAAGUAGCAAAGACAUUGUGAUUGGGGAAAUAACAUGAGAAAACAUUCAAGGGCUCGCUAAAUAAUUGGAGCGAAAGCAGCGAAUCCUUCUGGAAUCAUAUCAACACAGAGAAGAGACGCUGUCCUAAAAGGUUAACUUGGUUAAUAAGAGAAGCAACUAUGAGAUGAUGGAAAGUGAGUCAAAUGACCUGAACAGAAACGAGGAGAAGAACAUGUAUGGAAAAAGUUCUGUGGCAAGAGCUAAUUAGUUGGUCUGCAAAAAGAUCCAUGAAAAAUGCCCUAAUUUUAGACAUGUUAGAUAUUGCACACUCAAAAAGAAAAAGGAACAUUUAGAAAACUAUUUUAAACUUCUUUAAUCUCUAAAUGCCUCUUUGGCUAGUGUUUGGAGGAUCACUAUUUAGUCCUACAGCUGAUGCAUUUUUCCAUUCUUUUUGUUGCAAACCACCUAAACGUCUAAUCUCCUCUGUUGAACAUUGUUUGACACAUGACUAAAAUGGACCCUCUGUGCUAUAACCACACAGAUAAUAAUGCUGGAAAGUAAGAACAUCUAAAUGAUUUGUAAAAGGUAUUAAUUUUUCCCUUCUGUUUUGAAAUUAUUUCUAACAGUUUCUAAAGACAUGGUCACGGCUGCCUGAAGCAUGUCUUCUUCACUCAUAACAUCUCCUGUUGGGGGAAAAAAAAACCAAGUAUAUCUCUUAGCUAUUUUUUGGAAAAUUCUCAGUCAUCAAAAGGACAUUUGGUUGUUUCCAGGUUUUGAUUAUGAGAAAGAAAGCUGCUCUGAACAUUUGUGUCCAGGUUUUUGCAUAGACAGUAGAAUGAUGCUUCUGAUCAAGUCCUGAACAUCUGCAGUGUUGCAUGUUAUAAGACUGGUAACUAAGAAUAAUCUGAAUCAAUUCUUCAACAACACAUCCACAUGCAGAUACCUUGCAUACUGAGCUGAAUAGCCCUGCGGAGAUCUGCUUCUUCAUCUUCCAUGUCAAUUUCUUGGCGACUUAGUGCCAGAGCUCUCUGCAAAUCUUCCUCAUCUUCAUCUAACAUGCCUGAUCCAUCGUUUGCUUCUAAGACUCGUUCCAGAUCUGUUUUCUGGACUCUAAAGAACAAAACCAGAGAGUAACUGCAGACCAUUCUUCUAUUUUAUUAUUUUUUCCAGUCUUCUAUUUUAGAUAAA